GCAAGGUUUUCAUUACAUACAUUCUGUUUAUUGAAGCAUGAGUCAAUAUUCUAUUCUAUUCGUCUAUAGCCAUUCAGAUUAGGACUAGCUUCCUACCAAUCUUUGUUUUGCAUAGCAUCACUUUGACUAUUGAAUACGGGCAAACUUUGUGACACAAUAGAUUAAUAUGAUAUGAUAGACAUAAAUAGACAAUCAAAUGGGUGGGAACCCAUUAAAGAUGCCUUUUUAGAGAUGAUUUUGUCUAUCUACCAUGAAAUAUCUUUAGGUUUUUCUAAAAGCAUAUCAAUACAGUUUAGAACCUAUGGAUGAUAAGAAACAUUUUUAUAAAGCUCAUCAUGUACCAACCUCUUUUUUCCUUGGAGUGAUUGACACUAUCUUGGUUAAUAUAAGCAGAGAUAGGUUUAUGGAUUAAUAGCUUUGCAAUUAGGAUUGAAAUUAAGUUUGUGCGAAAAAUUGAAGUUACAUGCUUUUUGAGUUUAUUGGAAACUGGCUUAUGUAUUUGCUCUCUCCUUGAUCAGCUAUUGAUUUUUUGCUUUCUUUUGCUUGUGUUCUAUGAAAUUUUCCCUGCUGAAACAUAUGGAACACCAAACAUUUGCAGAAAAAGGAAUUUGAAAUGAAGGAGGGAGCAGCGAGCUAAGAAGAAGCAAAUGGAGGAAGAAGUUUCUCAACUUUCCGCUAAGCUUAAGGAGAAACAUACCAAAGAGCUGGUUGUAUAAGGCUAUAGCUGCAAUGAAAGAUGGGAGCUCUUCCCCUUGAUUUUAUAAUGAUGAUAGCAAUGUCUUGCAUUCUUCCUCUUGCUGAAUCCGCACUACUCUUCAAGAGGCUUUGUGUACUACCAAAUGAGAUACAUCUCUAUUGAUGAUUGUAUGUGAAUUUUCUUGGAAGAUUGAGAUUCUUCAAGUCAGGUGCAGUAACAUGUGGAGCUUAAUCUCCAAUAGACUGUUAGCACAUAACCUUAAAAAUUAAUCAUUUUUGGUUACUUAUUAAUUAUAUAGCAUUAAUUAUAGAGCAUUUACUACUCAUUGUAUAGGCUGAUGAGUGUGUUGUUUUUGUACUCACAUUGAUGGAAUUGAUAAGAUAACGAUGUCAAAAAACAAGGGUCAUGGACAUACACACAUAUUUAUUGGUUAUAGAAAAUGAACUUUGGUGAUGUAGGUCAUGCUCUACUAAUAAAAUAAUCCAUCAAGAUUGCGAUUUGGAGAUCUAAACCAAUUCAAUGGAUGUGUUGUUGUUUAAUAUGUUGACAAUUCCUUAUAUCUAUAAUUGUGCUAUUGUCUUCAUAUUGACAAAGAAUGUGAAACGAGUUCCUGUGGAUCUGGAUCAGGCUUAGAAAAGAAGUCUUUAAGUCAACUUUGCUUAGGAUUUCUGACUCUUCUAUUUCAUCUGUUGUUUAAUAUAUUUUUAAUAAUCAAGGUAUCAAUUGAUAUAUCAAAUACGAUAGACAUAUUCCCCGUGCAACGCGCGGGAAAAAAACACUAGUAAAAUACAAAUCAUUAAUUGCGAGUCUAAGUUUUAAAAUAUUAUAAUAAUUUAAGAAUAUUAUCAUAUUGAGGUCAUAUAUAGGUAUAUAUAUUUUAUAUUAUUAUAUUAUAUUAUAUUAUAACCGAAGACGACCGAAUCCAAAAUAUUUUUAUAAUUUUCAAUCAAUAACUGGUCUGGUUUUUUAAAUAUUAUAAUUAAUAAGAUAUUAUAUAAUAGUAUUAUACAUAUAUAUAAUUUAAUACUUUUUAUAUGUAUUGAAAAAGUAUAUUAUAAUGUUAGUACGGUCACGGUAUAGAUAAGUUUUACAUAAAUAUUUAUUAUUUCAUUAAUUAGAUCAAUGUAUUUUAAUUAAAAUUAAAAUUGUAAAAAGAAAGAGGAUAUAAGAGCAUGGACAGGGUAAAAGGUGCACAAUCAUUUAGUCGUACGUGAAGAUUUUGAUUCAGACUGACGUCGAGGUAUUAGAUUCAAGAAUUUGAUUAAGAGUUAAUGACGAUGGACAAGGUACAAAAUCAUUUACUAGUUGUGAAGAUUUUGGAUUGGAUUUUGAUUCAUGUGCACUCACUUUAUCAUUUAUCAUCUUGUUUCCACACUUUUUUUUAUAUCUCUCUUAAUUUAUUCUAUCACAUCAUUUUUUAAUUGAUAUGUAAAUUAAUAGUCAUAAACUAUAGGACUUUUACCAUUGAAGAUUAAGAGUUUAAUUUCUAUACACUGACGAUUGCAACCAAUCAAAUGUCAAUGAUGUGAUAAAAUCUCUCUUUUUUAUUUAAUUUUAAUUAAUUGACGUGUCACAUAAAAUCUCUCUUUUUAUUUAAUUUCAUUAAUUGACGUUGCACAUCCUUGAAAUCCGAUUGGUUGACAUUGUAAAAAAACUUUACACCGUCGGUGCAUCAUCUUUUUUUUCGAAGAUUAUUUCAUAUAAAUUUUGAUUUAUUUAUGUAUGAAUGCUAGUUUGUUUGAUUUUGCUAAGAAUUUUUGGGUUAUUAAAAAUAGUCAAUCUCAUAUUAUGAAGUAAUUUUGUCUUGUUGGAUCGUUUUAUGGAUAUUGUUAAUAAAUCACACACAUCACAUGUACCUCCCAUAUAAUAAUUAUAUAGAUUAAAUUAUAUUUGAACCACUCCUAUUUUUGUUUUUUCAAAGUAAAACAUGUACUAUGUACUUUUUUUCUAUUGUCAACUAUACUACUUGGUACCUCUGAGCAAUUUAUUUAUGCUACUCUCGCGCCCGAAAUCAAAUGUUCAUU